rnacentral:rRNA from 1 species
UUUCCAGAGAUGGAUUGGUGCCUUCGGGAACUCUGACACAGGUGCUGCAUGGCUGUCGUCAGCUCGUGUCGUGAGAUGUUGGGUUAAGUCCCGUAACGAGCGCAACCCUUGUCCUUAGUUACCAGCACGUUAUGGUGGGCACUCUAAGGAGACUGCCGGUGACAAACCGGAGGAAGGUGGGGGAUGACGUCAAGUCAUCAUGGCCCUUACGGCCUGGGCUACACACGUGCUACAAUGGUCGGUACAAAGGGUUGCCAAGCCGCGAGGUGGAGCUAAUCCCAUAAAACCGAUCGUAGUCCGGAUCGCAGUCUGCAACUCGACUGCGUGAAGUCGGAAUCGCUAGUAAUCGUGAAUCAGAAUGUCACGGUGAAUACGUUCCCGGGCCUU